CUGAAACCUACACAGCAGCGAUUUCACUAAGGUCCAGGUUUUUUGUCACACACGCAGAGCACAGAUUUUUUUGAUUAUGUAGAUUUCUUUUCCUACUGCAGUUUCAUAUGCAAAGCGUGCAGCGGCCACAUCCAUGCUAUCUCCUAAAGCAGUCAUUCUGAAACCCAAUCUGGGGACACUGCAGACUAAAUAAAAUUUCAUUUUGAUUUGGCCUCCCGCUGAGAAUGGGACUGCUUUGUCUCAGCCGACAGAACCAGCAAGCCAGAAAGAUUAAAGCAAGUGGAUACACUGAGAAGUCAGGUUCUCUAAGACAUUUGUUCCCUAGUGGAGAAAGCUUACAAGAUGGUAUUCCUGGUUGGCAAGAUAGAUGCAGAUCCUAAGGAGAGAGCCACCCCACCAUACCUCAAAAAGGCCCAGAC